rnacentral:rRNA from 1 species
AUAUUGGACAAUGUGUGCAACCCUGAUCUAGCCAUGCUGCGUGUGUGCAGAAGGUCUUCGGAUUGUAAAGCACUGUACGUUGGGAUGGAGGACUUUAGGUUAAUACUCUGAAGUUUGGACGUUACUAACAGAAGAAGCACCGGCUAACUAUGUGCCAGCAGCCGCGGUAAUACAGGGGGUGCAAGCGUUAAUCGGAAUUACGGGGCGUAAAGCGCGCGUAGGUGGUUCAGUAAGAUGGGUGUGAAAUCCCCGGGCUUAACCUGGGAACUGCUUUCAUAACUGCUGAGCUAGAGUACGGUAGAGGGUAGUGGAAUUUCCUGUGUAGCGGUGAAAUGCGUAGAUAUAGGAAGGAACACCAGUGGCGAAGGCGACUACCUGGACUGAUACUGACACUGAGGUGCGAAAGCGUGGGGAGCAAAC